rnacentral:rRNA from 1 species
AUCCUAUCCUGCCGAGAAAAGCCUCUAGUGAGUGUUGUGGCGGCCCGUACCCUAAACCGACUCAGGUGGUCAGGUAGAGAAUACCAAGGCGAUCGGGUGAACUGUGGUUAAGGAACUCGGCAAAUUGCCCCCGUAACUUCGGGAGAAGGGGGACCUCUGCUGGUGAUGGGCUUUACGUUCUGAGCUGGUGGGGGUCGCAGUGGCCAGGGGGAAGCGACUGUUUACUAAAAACACAGGUCCGUGCGAAGUCGUAAGACGAUGUAUACGGACUGACGCCUGCCCGGUGCCGGAACGUUAAGGGGACCGCUUAGCCAACGCGAGUUGGCGAAGGUGAGAACUUAAGCGCCGGUAAACGGCGGUGGUAACUAUAACCAUCCUAAGGUAGCGAAAUUCCUUGUCGGGUAAGUUCCGACCUGCACGAAUGGCGUAACGACUUCCCCGCUGUCUCAACCACAGACCCGGCGAAAUUGCACUACGAGUAAAGAUGCUCGUUUCGCGCAGCAGGACGGAAAGACCCCGGGACCUUCACUACAGCUUGACAUUGGCGUUUGGAACGUCUUGUGUAGGAUAGGUGGGAGACUGGGAAGCUGUCACGCUAGUGAUGGUGGAGUCAUUGGUGAAAUACCACUCUGGUCGUUUUGAACGUCUAACUCUGGUCCGUGAUCCGGAUCGGGGACAGUGUCUGGUGGGUAGUUUAACUGGGGCGGUUGCCUCCUAAAGAGUAACGGAGGCGCCCAAAGGUUCCCUCAGCCUGGUUGGCAAUCAGGUGUUGAGUGUAAGUGCACAAGGGAGCUUGACUGUGAGACUGACAGGUCGAGCAGGAGCGAAAGCUGGGACUAGUGAUCCGGCAUCGGCGUGUGAAAGCGGUGUCGCUCAACGGCUAAAAGGUACCCCGGGGAUAACAGGCUGAUCUUCCCCAAGAGUCCAUAUCGACGGGAUGGUUUGGCACCUCGAUGUCGGCUCGUCGCAUCCUGGGGCUGGAGUAGUCCCAAGGGUUGGGCUGUUCGCCCAUUAAAGCGGUACGCGAGCUGGGUUUAGAACGUCGCGAGACAGUUCGGUCCCUAUCCGCUGCGCGCGCAGGAGACUUGAAGGGGGCUGUCCCUAGUACGAGAGGACCGGGACGGACGAACCUCUGGUGUGCCAGUUGUACCGCCAGGUGCACGGCUGGUUGGCUACGUUCGGAAGGGAUAACCGCUGAAAGCAUCUAAGCGGGAAGCUCGCCUUGAGAUGAGGUCUCCCACCCCGUGAGGGGGUAAGGCUCCCGGUAGAUCACCGGGUUGAUAGGCCGGAGGUGGAAGCACGGUAACGUGUGGAGCUGACCGGUACUAAUAGGCCGAGGACUUGACCAC